rnacentral:rRNA from 1 species
UGGGGAAUAUUGGACAAUGGGCGAAAGCCUGAUCCAGCCAUGCCGCGUGUGUGAAGAAGGUCUUCGGAUUGUAAAGCACUUUAAGUUGGGAGGAAGGGCAGUAAGUUAAUACCUUGCUGUUUUGACGUUACCAACAGAAUAAGCACCGGCUAACUUCGUGCCAGCAGCCGCGGUAAUACGAAGGGGGCAAGCGUUAAUCGGAAUUACUGGGCGUAAAGCGCGCGUAGGUGGUUUGGUAAGAUGGAUGUGAAAUCCCCGGGCUCAACCUGGGAACUGCAUCCAUAACUGCCUGACUAGAGUACGGUAGAGGGUGGUGGAAUUUCCUGUGUAGCGGUGAAAUGCGUAGAUAUAGGAAGGAACACCAGUGGCGAAGGCGACCACCUGGACUGAUACUGACACUGAGGUGCGAAAGCGUGGGGAGCAAACA